UACGGAGGGUGCAAGCGUUGUCCGGAUUCAUUGGGCGUAAAGAGCGCGCAGGCGGCUUGGUAAGUCGGAUGUGAAAUCCCGAGGCUCAACCUCGGGUCUGCAUCCGAUACUGCCCGGCUAGAGGUAGGUAGGGGAGAUCGGAAUUCCUGGUGUAGCGGUGAAAUGCGCAGAUAUCAGGAGGAACACCGGUGGCGAAGGCGGGUCUCUGGGCCGAUACUGACGCUGAGGAGCGAAAGCGUGGGGAGCGAACAGG
rnacentral:rRNA from 1 species